AUCCGAAUCUUGAAGCAUCGUCCGCUCUAUUUAUUCCGUCGCCGCGGUCUCGGGCGUUUCCUACAGCAUUAGCCCCAGUUCUUGGAUAGUCUCGAACAAGGAAGCCGUCCUCCGUCUCUUCUACGACGCCCAGGGGAGGGCUCAUCUCCGACACCGCCGCGGAAAUAUGAGCAAGCGUUCCAGUCGAACCCUCUAUGUUGGCAAUCUCCCUGGAGACAUCCGCGAGCGGGAGGUUGAAGAUCUGUUUUACAAGUAUGGGCCCAUUGUUGAUAUUGAUCUGAAGAUUCCUCCAAGGCCUCCAGGUUAUGCUUUUGUUGAGUUCGAAGAUGCUCGUGAUGCCGAAGAUGCUAUUCGCGGUCGUGAUGGAUAUAAUUUUGAUGGUCACAGAUUAAGAGUGGAACUUGCACAUGGUGGACGAGGCCAGUCUUCAUCAUUUGACCGACAUAGCAGUUAUAAUAGUGGGGGACGACGUGGUGGUGGUGUCUCCAGGCGUUCGGAGUAUCGUGUUCUUGUCACUGGUUUACCUUCGUCUGCGUCUUGGCAAGAUCUUAAGGUUUGGAAAAAUGGUAGUAUUUUCAUUCUAAAAAUUUUCACUUUGUCUGAAUACUGUGGUUUUGAAAUUCUCCAAGUUCAGGAUCAUAUGCGCCGAGCUGGUGAUGUUUGUUUCUCUGAAGUGUUCCGUGAUGGUGGAGGUACUACAGGAGUUGUGGAUUAUACAAACUAUGAGGAUAUGAAAUAUGCGAUCAGAAAGCUCGAUGACUCUGAGUUUCGCAAUGCAUUUUCUCGGGCAUAUAUAAGAGUGAAGGAGUAUGAUUCUAGGAGAAGCUUAUCUAGGAGCCGAAGCCGUAGCCAUUCCUACUCAAAAAGUCGGAGUCCUAGUCGCAGUAGAAGUCACAGCCGGAGCCAAAGCAAGUCUCCGAAGGCUAAAUCAUCACGCCGUUCUUUGUCAAGAUCUAGAUCCAGAUCUGUAUCUUCUCGAUCUCAUUCAGGAUCAAGGGGGCACUCUUUGUCAAGACACCUGGGUAUAAUGAGGCACAACAAUAUAUACUACUUGGCUCUCUGGAAUUGGAAUAUCCUGCUUAAGUUGUCUUAAAGUUCUGAUGCUUUUUGGAGUUUCCUGUUGAAGGGCAUACUUGUGCAGAUUUGGACCCAUGCGGUGGGGAUUGCAUAUUAGGAUCUUGAUGGGAUUUGGUGCAAGUGCCUGCAAUUCUUUUGGUUGUGUGAGGUAUGCUGUUUCAUAAGCGAGCAGCUUCGGAAAUCCAGAAAGCAUAUUAACUUCUAUGCCUUUUGGCCUUUAGCUGAUACCCAUUGGAGUUCAGUGGGGCAGAAAGGAUGGGUUGCGACCAUAGAGCUGGAUUUCCAUGCACUGUGGAAUUGGGACUCACCAAACAGUGGUAGAAACAAGUUUCACCUUCGGUCUUCAACAUUAUUUGCGGUUGGAUUCUGGAUUUGGAGUUUGGUGGUAUAAUGAAAAUGAUACAUCUCACCUUUAUUAUUCAUUACAGAUUAUUUGUUGCUGCCUAGGUUUUUAAAUUAAUCUGGUCAUCGGUAGUUCUAAUCAUAGUUAGUUGGCUUUUGACUAUGGCUUAAUUAUCACUGACCUAUUUAAUUAUAUUUCUUUUACGUCACAUUAUUGGAUUACUAUACACGUGUUAAAUUUCCUUUGAGAAUUGCAUGCUUCCAAAGUUUUUUAAGUAGCCUUUUUUUUUUCUUUCAAUAUGGUAAUUCUGACGUGGAAGAGGCGUUGAGGCUUUUGGAUCAAGCUGUUAAAGCAGCGAUGUGGAUAUUGAAUUGAGUUGUUUCUGGAACUUUUUGCAGAUCACGAUCGAGAUCCAGAUCACCUUUGACUUCUCCACGUCGUGGCAAACCUGCGACUAGAAGUCCUAGGAAGCGAAGUCCCAGUAGGAGCAGGAGUUCAUCGCGUUCUCGAUCCCCUGCUGCCAAGUCUGAUUAAAGCUGAACUGCUUCCAAAGAUGGUCAAAUAGGAAGCCACAUUUUGUGGAUUUGGAACGUUACGGAUUACCGGAGAAAACUCUUUGCUUGGGCACCAUCUAGGGCACCAAGACUGUUGGUUGUGCUGUUAAGAUAUGGAACUAUGCUGAACUUGCGUUAGGAAAACAAAACCGAAUGCCCGAAUUGCUGUUUAUUUGAUCCUUUACCAGAUGACAAUAGUUGGUAGUGUUCUAGUGGUUGCUUAAUUAAUACAGAUAUUUAGACGUCUGCAUCUGACGCCGAAGUGGAGCUGUUUUUGUCAUUUCUGUGGCAUUGAUUGGUGAAAGUAUGGCUGGAUUGUGUUUUUGUUUCCUUAGUACGAACAUGCUAUAGUUUAUUUUUCAAUCAAAUAUUUUUUUUUGAUGAAA